GGCAAUUGUCCUGACCCAGCAAUACUCUUUUGAUGUCCUUAGCAUUUUCUGCCUGGGGCACUGGCCUCAUUCUGCCUAUCGAUAGCCCUGGGUUCUCUUAGCUCUUUGGGACAAACAGAAUGGAGUCACUUCAAACAUUGGGUGGAGAUGUGGUGUGGGUGGGAAUGGAGAAGCUGGUUCUCUGUGGCUUCACCAGACUUGUUCUCCUCUGAACCAACAGGAGACUCUCUGAAAUGGAACCUAAUCAGCGGUGUAAUGGGUGCCCUCGUCAUGUUGGCUGUCGUCAUGCUGAUCGUUAUCAUCGUCGUUCUGAUUUCCAGAAGGUACCCAAAGGACAGAAAACCUUUGACUGCCUCAGAAUCUAUCGCAAAGCCCUUGACUCACGUCCACAGCGAGCUUUCCCCAGAUGUCAAGGUCUGUAGCACCUGCCUCUCAGCUGUCACAUUUAAAAAGUCCACAUCAGCACAUUGAUA
rnacentral:lncRNA from 1 species